ensembl:snoRNA SNORA71 Small nucleolar RNA SNORA71
CCCUGUAUCGAAAGUGAUCAUGGCGUUCUGGUUGCCAGGUCAUUGAUAGUACAGGAACAUCAAUCUGCGAGCCUUUCCCGUGUUUGUUGGAUUAUUUAUUCCUGUCAGACCCUGUUGCUCUCAGACA